UCAACCUGAGAGUUUGAUUCUGGCUCAGAACGAACGCUGGCGGCAGGCUUAACACAUGCAAGUCGAACGCACUCUUCGGAGUGAGUGGCAGACGGGUGAGUAACGCGUGGGAAUGUGCCUAUCGGUACGGAAUAGCUCCGGGAAACUGGAAUUAAUGCCGUAUACGCCCCUUGGGGGAAAGAUUUAUCGCCGAUAGAUCAGCCCGCGUUAGAUUAGCUAGUUGGUAGGGUAAAAGCCUACCAAGGCUACGAUCUAUAGCUGGUCUGAGAGGAUGAUCAGCCACACUGGGACUGAGACACGGCCCAGACUCCUACGGGAGGCA
rnacentral:rRNA from 1 species